ensembl:lncRNA
ACUGGGAACAGAAAGGUUAGAGAUCUUUUCCUAGAAAAACAAACCAUUCCAGAAUAAAGACCUCCAGAUCCUGACAUUUGCAGCAACUGGUGGAAGAGCUGGCAUCUCCCUUCAGUCAAACCCACUGGUUGAUGAGCCGUGUCCGAGCAUAUAGUCAGCCAGGAAUCACCCAAAAGUCAAGGAAAUCCUCCAACAUGAAAGAAUAGGACAAAGAAAACCCCCAAAAUACCCUAAAAGAAAAAAGGAAGUCAGAAGAACUCAGAAAAAAAUUAGGGAAAUCACCAAGAAAGUAAAACAAAAAGGCAGAGAUGUACAAUAAGAAAGGAAAAAUACAGGAGGCUCAACAUCUAAAUAAUGGCAAUUCCGGAGAGAGAAUAGAGAACAGAAAAAGUAGUGGGCAGAAAUUUAUCAAAGUGACAAUCGAAGAAAAUUUCCCAAAAUAAAGGUUGGACUGAUUGCCCAGCUCAAUGAAUGGAAAACACGUCCCCUGUAAAGCCCCAUCACUGUGAAAUUUCAAAACCUGAGGGAUAAAGAGAAGAUCCCAAAAGCUUCCAGAUAGAGAAAGAGAAAACCAAUUUACGUACAAACAACCGGUUACAUGAAUGGCAGUGUUUGUAGCCUUAUAAAUCUUGCCACUCACAGAGAUCUUUUUCUUCCAUUUGAGCCAAUUGCGUAGUCAAACUCUUUCUCCUGAAGGCCUACCAUCUGAGAUUUACCUCUUAAUUCUUCCCUUAUCGCCCAUCUUGUUCCACUCAUUGAAAAUAUUCAAAAAAUUUCUACCAAAUACUCAGUCUCUUCCUCCCUUAACCCAGUGCCAGACCUGCCACUGUGACAGACUAAGCAUAUACUGGCCUGGAUCUGCCUCCUUUUGCUGGGAGAGCCAUCUCUUCAGUUGUCCUCUGUACUUGGCAGUGGUGAGUGUGGAUUUCCAGGCCAGCUGACCUCAGUUACCAGGGUGUCAGCAGAGACUGCCUCCAACCUGCUCUUGUCUCACCAAGAUGUUGACAGCCCCUCUCUUCCUCCUGCUUGGAGCCAAGUCAACCUACAAAUACUGUCACAUCACCAUGAGAAUUCUGUCUGCCGAUUCCCAAACCAGAGACCCAUCCACUCAGCAUUGUUACCAGCUAGAGAAGGAAAUAAAUCGCCCACGUGAAAGCUACCCUCCCCACACCAGGAGAUAGAGACAUCCUUAUCACCAGAGCUGGGGAAUUCAGGGCUGAGAAGCCUGUAUAAACAAAUCUUGUACUUUUUUUACUAAUUUACUACCCCAAGCCCAAACUCUGCUUCAAUUCUUUGCUAAUUAGGAACCUGAGCUUAAGUUUCUUUGUCCUGUCAAUUUCUCACAAAUUUAUUGUUUCUUGUUAUAACUUACUACAUAUUAUUAUACGCUACUGUCUCAAAUGUAUAAAAGCUGCUUGCUUUGGUCAUUUCUUCAGGUUCCAAUAUCUAUUGAGGCCUUUGUAUAUACGAAUAAAAUUUGUUUCUUUUUCUCCUAUUAAUCUGUCUUUUGCCAAUUUAAUUAUUAGACCAGCGAAAAGAACCUGGGGGCGGGAGAGUUGGGAAUUUGUCCUGGCCUGACAUCACCAUGUUGUAUGUUACAUCCCCAGUACUUAUUUAACUUAUAAUUGGACUGGAAGUUCAUACUUUUUGACCACCUUCCUCCAACUCCCCCCACAACCCCGCCUCUGGUAACCACAAAACUGAUUUCUUAUUCCACGUAUAAGUGAGAUCAUGCGGUAUUUGUCUUUCUCUCUCUGACUUAUCUUACUUAGCAUAAGUCCUUCAAGUUCCAUCCACGGUGUUGCAAGUGGUAGGAGUUCCUCAUUUUUUAUGGCCAAACAAUAUUCCAUUGUGUAUAUAGACCACAUCUUCUUUACCCAUUCAUCCAUCAAUGAACACUUAAGUUGUUUCCAUGUCUUGGCUAUUGUAAAUAAUGCUGCUAUGAGCAUGGGGGUGCAGAUAUGUUUUCAAGUUAGUGUUUUCAUGUCCUUUGGCUAUUUUCCCAGAAGUGGAAUUGCUGGAUCAUAUAGUAGUUCUAUUUUUAAUUUUUUGAGGAAGUUCUAUACUGUUUUCCAUCAUGGCUGCACCAGUUUACAAUCCCACCAACAGUGCACAAGGGUUCCCUUUUCUCUGUAGAUGGCUUUUGGUAGUAUUGACGUUUUAACCAUAUUAAUUCUUCCAGUCCAUGAACAUAGGAUGCAAUUCCAUUUAUUUGCGUCUUUGAUUUCUUUCAUCUAUGUAUUGUGGUUUUCAUAGUAGAGAGCUGCAAGUCCUCUUGAAGCCUAGAUUUGGAACUCGUACUCUGCUGCUUCCACUGUGUUAUAUCAAUUAAAGGCAACCAUCACAGGCUACACACAGACAUCUGGCUUCCUUCUCUGGAAAUUUUCUCUCUACCCUCUCCAGGGACCGGCACAUUCUUUCAUCAGAACAGACUGCCCCUGAGCUAACAGCUGUGCCCAUCUUCCUCUACUUUAAUGUGGGAUGCCUGCCACAGCAUGGUGUGCCAAGUGGCGCGUAGGUCCGCACCAGGGAUCCGAACCAGUGAACCAGCCCGGCCGCAGAAGAGGAACGUGCAAACUCAACCACUGCACCACCCUGCUGGCGCCCAUGUGGUAACAUUGUUAUGCAGCAAUAGAUAACUAAUACAAAACACGUGUUACUAAUGGCCAGAAAAGAAAAGCAGACAGUGAAACUUGCUUUGUUUAGCUUCAUAUUUAUAAUUAUGCCAGUCAAAAAAAUUAAUACAAAAUAGAAUAAAGUAAAUAAAAAUAAGUAACUAAAAGAUAAAAAAGGAAGUGUGGG